rnacentral:lncRNA from 1 species
GUUAUUCUAAAAGAUAGUAAGAAUAGUUGAUAUUCCAAGACAUCCUGAGUACCUCAUUGAGCCUUAAGUGUACCGCAUGAUAAGACCCGAGAAUCUGCAACUUUUUAUUAAAAAUCUUUAGCAAUUGAAAAGAAAACAUUCUCCACGUUCAAAAUUCGUCGUCUUGGCACUCUGUAAGAGAAACCCAUCAACAUCAGCCAAUGAAAUG